rnacentral:rRNA from 1 species
AUAAGAGGUCCCGCCUGCCCUGUGACCCUGGGUUUAACGGCCGCGGUAUUUUGACCGUGCGAAGGUAGCGCAAUCACUUGUCUUUUAAAUGGAGACCUGUAUGAAUGGCACGACGAGGGCUUAACUGUCUCCCUCUCCUGGUCAAUGAAAUUGAUCUCCCCGUGCAGAAGCGGGGAUAUUUUCAUAAGACGAGAAGACCCUAUGGAGCUUUAGACAAAAGGCAGACCACGUUUAACCUCCCCCAUCACGGGGCCAAACACAAUGUUCCCUAGCCCGAAUGUCUUUGGUUGGGGCGACCGCGGGGGAAAACAAAGCCCCCAUGUGGACUGGGGAAACCCUUCCCUAGGGCCAUGAGCUACAGCUCUUAGCAACAGAAUUUCUGACCAAAAAUGAUCCGGUGAACACCGAUCAACGGACCAAGUUACCCUAGGGAUAACAGCGCAAUCCCCUCCCAGAGUCCCUAUCGACAAGGGGGUUUACGACCUCGAUGUUGGAUCAGGACAUCCUAAUGGUGCAGCCGCUGUUAAGGGUUCGUUUGUUCAACGAUUAAAGUCC